rnacentral:rRNA from 1 species
GAUGAACGCUGGCGGCGUGCUUAACACAUGCAAGUCGAACGGUGAAAGAGAGCUUGCUCUCUGGAUCAGUGGCGAACGGGUGAGUAACACGUGAGCAAUCUGCCCCUGACUCUGGGAUAAGCGCUGGAAACGGCGUCUAAUACCGGAUACGAGCUGCGAAGGCAUCUUCAGCAGCUGGAAAGAACUUCGGUCAGGGAUGAGCUCGCGGCCUAUCAGCUAGUUGGUGAGGUAAUGGCUCACCAAGGCGUCGACGGGUAGCCGGCCUGAGAGGGUGACCGGCCACACUGGGACUGAGACACGGCCCAGACUCCUACGGGAGGCAGCAGUGGGGAAUAUUGCACAAUGGGCGCAAGCCUGAUGCAGCAACGCCGCGUGAGGGACGACGGCCUUCGGAUCGUAAACCUCUUUUAGCAAGGAAGAAGCGAAAGUGACGGUACUUGCAGAAAAAGCGCCGGCUAACUACGUGCCAGCCGCCGCCGUAACAC